rnacentral:tRNA from 1 species
GGUGGCUCAGGGGUAGAGCGCUUGCCUUGCAUGCAUAAGGCCCUGGGUUCGAUUCCCCAGCACCA